CGGGCGGGCAGGGGCGCGGGUGCCCCGGCGAGUCAGCCAUCUUCUGCCUCGCCGCCGGCCUGCAUGGGAGCGGCGCGGCGGGGCGGGCGGCGGCGGCGGCGCGGGCGUGCGGAGGCAGCGCGGAGAGAGCCGGCCCCGCGCCUGCUGUGGCGCUGCUGGCGGGCUGCCGCGGAGGGGGCGGCGGCGGGGACGGGAGGCCGGCCUCGGCCCGGCGGCGGGCGGGGCUUGCCGCCACCGAAUCGGCCGCCGCUGCCCGCCAUGCAGCCGGGGGGGGGUGACGCGCCCAGCGUGGGGCGGAGCGCGGGCGGACCCCCGCCCCUGCUCGGAGGUGGGAUGGGGGAGCCGCGAACCCGCGGACGCGCGUGGAUCCCCCCCCUCGAGGAGCUGCCUGCCUGCCCGCCCGGCCGGGGUGCCCGCGGUCGGCGUCGCGAUCGUACGGGCGGGUCGCGCUGCGGCGUGAAACGGCGCGUUUUCGAGGGAGAGCGGCUGAAAGAUGGGUGAAGAUUCUGUUACCGAUGAGUCCGCGUGCGCAACCUCUCAUCAAACGCAAGAGGUGCUCCCAGGAUCUCAGCAUCUCUCUCCCAUGGCAGGGACGGGAUAGGCAGCACGAGGGGAAGUUGCUUAUAAGCACCGUCGUGUAGCGUCAGAGCUGCAGGUUUGAAAGCUCUGAGAGCCAACCUCACAGAACCUUCCUGCUCUGAGGCACCAGCACCUUGCUCAUUCACGAAAUCACUCUGAGGAAGAAGGCAAAAUGAAUUUUUGCAUUAGGGACACAUCACUGGUUUCUCCGUAGUGCUGAUAACACAACUUUAGUGAAAAUCUCGGACCUUUUGCUACACAGAAUAACCAUGUUGCCCUGAAUGGUUAUUGUUUAGUGAAACAUCUGAAAACACAUAAUAGACUACUUGUUUGCAACGCUUGCUAUAGAUUUUGUAAUGAAGUGCCGUUGCGCUGCAUCAAUUUGACAGUUCGAGUUGAUAAUUUGACAGAAAGAUUAAUCCUAAACUCCCAGCAUAAACAGAAUUCCCUUUAAUGUCAGAAGGGACUUUGUAACUGCCAGCCCAAACGCUGCGGAUGGGCUUCAGCAGGUUACAGAGAGCGUCUUCAGGAUCAAAUUUGACAUUCCUCUUCCUGACUAACAGUUGGUAGUUGAAAAUAGAACACCUCUCCCAGUUCUGAAUUCUGACCCUCACUUCUUGCUCACCCAAACCGAGGACUUCCAGACUUCUUUUCCCAAACGCUCACCGCGAAGGCUUUUGAAUGCAGAUGUUCACUCGUGUCUCCUGACAGUAGGCUCAGUUUUCUCAGCUACUUUUAGUAAGCUCCUAAAAACAGCCCACGGUCCCUCAGAACCUCAUCAACAACUGGCUAAAAGCCACGGUCUCACUAAGUUGUUCUUCCAGUGGCAACAUAUGGAGGACCAUCAACCGUCAAGACGGAAGUUCAUGCAACUGUCAAGACUGAAUUUCAUGCAUUCAGAAUGCUUAGGCACCAUCUGACACUCGUAGAGACCCUAACGUUAAAUACAUCUACUGAACUGUGACAGCACACAUUUCUUGUGUGAAAGCCUAUAUUUCUGAUAAGGAAACCUGGUUCAGCAGCGCUCAAUAUGGAUUCUGGAUAACAUCUUAAAGAGGCCAACCAGCCAUUCCGUGCAUACAGAAACACGCCUGUGAACUUCUCCCUGCAGUCAGCUCCUUCAGCUCCCCACUUCCACGCCAGUGAUGUUAUUUCACCCACACCUUGCAGAAGGGGCGCAUUCCACUCAUUCCUGAGCUGGGACGAGCGCCCGCAGCAUUACUCACCCACAGCAGUGUCUGUAGAUCCCUGUCUGCUGUGGAUACUAAUCUCAAUCCAGAGCUUCCUCAGACGAUUAGAGGCUGUUCUGCAAAAUGUCAAUACACAGCCUCUCCGAAGCCAACACGGUGUGGUGGUUGAAAUGGGAGCCGUGGAGGCUUUCCAAAUAUGAAGGUCUGGAAAUGUUUGGAGGUAUUUUAAUAUUGAUGAAUACUUCAGAUUUUUUUUUUUUCUGUUGCUUCAGUGUAUCAGUGUCAAAUCUGUGCGGAUUAAUGGCAAGACAGAGCCCUAGUACCAUUCGUGUCUAUCAAAGUUCUGGCAAAUGCUAACAACUUACUGCUAUUAAUGAUCACUCUUUGCCCAGAAGUUCACAUAAUUCAUCAAAAAGCCAACGUUGAUAAGCAGAAAGAAAUUAAAUACUUCUGAGUCUUCUGUUAAAAUGCCUUUCUUUUUACUUUGUUUAACAUCUAAUGUCUCCUACAGCAAAAGUAAGCAAGGGGAAGUCUUUUCCUUCUUCAGCACAAAAGAGCACCCACACCACUCAAAAACAGUUGAGAUUAAACCUUUGAAAAGGUAUCAGCAGUGUGUGUAAAGCCAAAUUGGUAAAGUGUGCCCUAGACACCACUUUUGACUCUGGGGAAAAUGCUUUAUCAUCUGUCUACUGCUACGCUCUGCCUAUUCAUCACCAUUACUCAGUAACUCUGCGGUGGCAGCUUUGUACUUAACAUGAAGCCAAAGAUCAGGGAGAGGCACACAUCAAACAAGACUUGAACUUGGAGAUGGCAAACCAUACGUUCUAGACCUCAUUCCUUUAAAGGACCGUACCUCGGAAUGAAACCUGUGAGCCUUUUCUAUAGUUUCAUUUGUUCAAUACAGUGCUCCACUUGUUCUGUAAAAGAAGUUGGCAAAAGCCCUGCUUUCCUGAGAUCUUGUCAUUCAUUGUGACUGAAACCUAAAAGGCUGUCCUAUGGUACUAAGGCAGGUCUGGGGUACCUGAGAGAUCUACCUGCUCCCUAUGCCUCCAUUCCACAUUCUUCACACACCUUGAAACCAAGGAACUGUCAAACACAGAAGCAAAGAUGGCGAGGGGUGUACACCCCCAUUCUUUGCAGCUUUCCAUGGCUGUAAAGUUCCCUGUGAAGUGACCCGAGAAUAUGUACAAUGACAGAAAACUCAUUUCUUCACUCGCCAUUUCUCAACAACAGCCAGUUCCAGCCCUUGUCAUUCUUCUACUUCUCCACACAGACGAAGGCAGGAGAGAAUUCUCUUGGUUUAACUUUAAUAAAUGGAAUCAAAGAACAGCGGAGACUGAAAGGCUCUUGUGAAGAGGAACCUAACUUCCCUCCUCAAUGAUGGUGAGAAAUCAUAGGAAGAGACACAAGGAGGCGAAAUGUAUGUGCUCCACCCUGAUAGGAUGCAGUCACAAGGGCUGAGGAUGCUGGCAGAAGUGACUGCCAAACUACUCUCUAUCAUUUUUGAAAGGAGAUCAUGGAGAAUGGGAGAGGUGCCUGAAGGCUGGAGAAAAACUGAUGUCACAAAGGGCAAGAAGGAGGACCUGUGAAACUAAAGGCCAGUCAGCCUCACAUCCAUCCCCAGGAAGGUGAUGGAACAACUUACAUGCAACCUGCUCUAGGGAAACUGCUUUAGCAGUGGCGUUGCACUAGAUGAUCUCCAAAGCUUCCUUCCAGCCCUGUGAUUCUGUGAUUGUGUGAUUCUGUGAUACUUUAGAAUGUCACUGUCCGAACUAGAACCCAGUUCUUAUGUCCUGUAGGACAGCCCUGCCACUGCUGGAACACGUAAUGUAAAAUUUUUGCUGGGGGAAAACAAGCGAGUCUCCCUUUGGACUAGCUUGACUUUGAGCUCACUCACGAAAAACCAAUGACCUUUGAAAGAAUACAGAGAUGGCACCACUGACAGAUUUUUCCCCAGUUGGCUGCAAAUAAAGUUAUUUGAAAUAACUGCUAAAGCUGUAAUUUAUCAGACUUUUUCACAGAUUCCACAAAAGCUAGGAAACUCGAAAGGCUUUCUCCAGGCAGAACAUGCCAGUCAUUUGUGCAUGAAUUGCAAGAGGGGAAAUUAUAUGUUUCUUUUAGAGCUGUUGUUGCCAUCGUGGAAAGUGAACAAGCAUCUGUGCUUCAGAAAUCAGUGGAAGGAAGGUGUUCCGUGAAAGAGAGCAUGUGGGAAAGCGACUUGAAAUUGUGAGAGUAUAUGAAAGUAGCAGGAGUUCUGAAUGCCACUGGGGAGAAGAACUGGAACAAGGCUGACACAUGGAAAGGUGGUGAGAAAGCAAAAAGAAAUGUAAAGAGGAAUAUACUGAAGGGGGAAAAAAGAGAGAGAGAGAGAGAGAGAGAGAGAAAAAAAUUUGGCUAGGGAAUAGGUCUGAGCAAAUUCCAAAAGUGAGAGAGGAACAGAAAAAGAAGGAAAAAAUAUAGGGCAGAUGGAAGGUUUAUCUGUUGGAUAACUGUGCAGGUAAAUGUGAACAUUAAAGUUUUAAAGCGUGUUUUACUAUGGAAACUGAAAUCUGAAAGUCAGAUGUCCGAGAAGGACUUCUGAUGCAGCGGUGUUCCCUAUGUUUGUGUUAUACACAAUCUGCAAGAUGAUUGUCCUCUGUAGCGUUUGUCACCAAUUCUAAAAAAAAAAUAAAGAUUCCCAGUUACUAAUAUUUAAUUCAAGAGGACUGCUUACCUCAAAUCACUGUAUAUAGAAGCUGCACCACCAGCCCUAAGGUUCUUAAUUUCACUGCGAGGCUGACUAUUUCCUGGGUUACAAUGCAGUGAAGCUGAAUCCGGAAUACCAAUUUAAUACUUGAGUGCCCAGAGUCAGGCAGACACUUUGCAUAAAAGUCUUCUCUUGUGUGCGCUGAGCGCCUGCAGCUCCCCCUGGGAGGCAGUGGGUGCUGAGCACCUCCAAAAACGGGGUCACUGUCAUUUGACAGCUCUGAAAUGAAUCGAGGUGACAAAGUUUAAAACUAAACUUAUAAGCGAUUGACAUCUUUGUGGAACAGUGCUUCUCUGUAGGACUGCCACUCUUCUGGUCGUUCAAAUUUUGGUAUGUAGUGGAUGAACUUUUUUAAUACAGAUGCCUGUAUAGCUCAUGAACUAUUCAGAGAUAAUAUGAGGA
rnacentral:lncRNA from 1 species